GCCUACGGGAGGCAGCAGUGGGGAAUAUUGCACAAUGGGGGGAACCCUGAUGCAGCGACGCCGCGUGAGUGAAGAAGUAUUUCGGUAUGUAAAGCUCUAUCAGCAGGGAAGAAGAUGACGGUACCUGACUAAGAAGCCCCGGCUAACUACGUGCCAGCAGCCGCGGUAAUACGAAGGGGGCAAGCGUUGUUCGGAAUUACUGGGCGUAAAGGGAGUGUAGGCGGUUUAGUAAGAUAGUGGUGAAAUCCCAGAGCUUAACUUUGGAAUUGCCAUUAUAACUAUUAGACUAGAAUUAC
rnacentral:rRNA from 1 species